rnacentral:rRNA from 1 species
UACGGAGGGUGCGAGCGUUGUCCGGAAUUAUUGGGCGUAAAGAGCUCGUAGGCGGUCUGUCGCGUCGGCUGUGAAAACCCGGAGCUCAACUCCGGGCCUGCAGUCGAUACGGGCAGACUGGAGUUCGGCAGGGGAGACUGGAAUUCCUGGUGUAGCGGUGAAAUGCGCAGAUAUCAGGAGGAACACCGGUGGCGAAGGCGGGUCUCUGGGCCGAUAUUGACGCUGAGGAGCGAAAGCGUGGGGAGCGAACAGG